rnacentral:sRNA from 1 species
AAUGAUAAGAAGAAGAAGUAGAGAUGAA